rnacentral:rRNA from 1 species
GGGGGGCCUACACAUGCAAGUCGAGCGGAUGAAGGGAGCUUGCUCCUGGAUUCAGCGGCGGACGGGUGAGUAAUGCCUAGGAAUCUGCCUGGUAGUGGGGGAUAACGUCCGGAAACGGGCGCUAAUACCGCAUACGUCCUGAGGGAGAAAGUGGGGGAUCUUCGGACCUCACGCUAUCAGAUGAGCCUAGGUCGGAUUAGCUAGUUGGUGGGGUAAAGGCCUACCAAGGCGACGAUCCGUAACUGGUCUGAGAGGAUGAUCAGUCACACUGGAACUGAGACACGGUCCAGACUCCUACGGGAGGCAGCAGUGGGGAAUAUUGGACAAUGGGCGAAAGCCUGAUCCAGCCAUGCCGCGUGUGUGAAGAAGGUCUUCGGAUUGUAAAGCACUUUAAGUUGGGAGGAAGGGCAGUAAGUUAAUACCUUGCUGUUUUGACGUUACCAACAGAAUAAGCACCGGCUAACUUCGUGCCAGCAGCCGCGGUAA